UACGAAGGGGGCGAGCGUUGUUCGGAUUUACUGGGCGUAAAGGGCGCGUAGGCGGCGCGGCAAGUCAGGCGUGAAAGCCCCGGGCUCAACCUGGGAAUUGCGCAUGAUACUGCGGCGCUUGAAGACGGGAGAGGAUGGCGGAAUUCCCAGUGUAGAGGUGAAAUUCGUAGAUAUUGGGAAGAACACCGGUGGCGAAGGCGGCCAUCUGGCCCGUAAUUGACGCUGAGGCGCGAAAGCGUGGGGAGCAAACAGG
rnacentral:rRNA from 1 species